UGUUGAUCGUAAUUGGUGUUAUUUCAACGUAAUUGACGUUAUUUCAAAGAAAGUGCCGUAGUAUUUGAUGAUAUAGAAAGAGGAGGAGCGAUAAGGUGGUUUGUCAUUCGAGUAAAUCUCAUCCUCGAAUCACCAUAUGUAACCUUCAACCCUCCUACCCCCACCCCCGUCGUCAAUAAACAAACAUCAAGACAUAACAAAGAACCAGUACAUCCAAGUGUCACAACAUGAUGAACGUAACGACGAACAUGAAUCACAGCCGAAUUGAAGUUCAUGUUUCCUGUGGAAAACACAGAGAGAAAGGAGAAAAUAAAGGGAGGAACGAACCUUUGACGCGUUGAUGACGACUCUCGGGAUUCUGCGUCUCGUUCACCGCGAUGGUGGCCUCGCACACCUCUAUGGGAUAGAGAGGGACGAUGAUGUUCAUGAUGUUAUUGACGAUCACGAUU